rnacentral:lncRNA from 1 species
GCAGUGUCUCUGUCACCAGCCAGGUGACUGUGGUGGCCAGUAGGGCCAGGCGGUCUUCGUGAGUGGGCGGGUGGUCCUAUUGUGGCAUCUCUGUCACCAGCCAGGUGCCUGUGAUGGCUAGCAGGGCCAGGCGGUCUUCAUGGGAGCAUUAUUCAUGGACCCUCAUCCCGUCUCAUGCCUCUCCUGCCUUCCUCUACUGUGGUGACGAGGACAGGUCUCACCUGUGCACUCAUUUCCAGGAUGAUGGGCAGCUUUCUAGAAGCUUUUGUGUGCCAAGAAUUGGCCAUGUCUUCUUUUGAAAAGUGUCUGUUCAUGUCCUUUGCCCACUUCUCAGUGGGGCUGUUUGGUGUUUGCUUAUAAAUUUGUUUAAGCUCUUAAUAGGGCUAGAUAUUAGAUCUUUAUCAGAUGCAUAUAGUUUGCAGAUAUUUUCUCCCAUUCUAUGCCAUUAUCCUUAGCAAACUAAUGCAGGAACAGAAAACCAAAUGCUGCAUGCUCUCACUUAGAAGUGGGGGCUAAAUGAUGAGAACACACGGACACAAGAAGGGGAACAGCACACACUGGGGCCUACUUGAGGGUGGAGGGUGGAAGGAGGAAGGGGAUCAGAAAAAAAGCCAAUACCUCAUCGGGGUACAAUUAGCACUUGACAAAUUGCCCGUUCUGCACACACUGCACAGUUUGAUAAGUUUUGAAAUCUGCGCACAUCAUGGCAUCAUUACCACAGUCAAGGUAAGGAACAGAUCCAGUCCUUCCUCAAAAGAAGCUUCUUUUUAAAUCCCUCCUGCCUUCCCAAGGCCUCUCCCUCCAUCCCAGGAAACCCCCCCUUCUGCUUCCUGUCACUAUAAACCAAUUUGCAUUUGAUAAAAGUUUUUACAAAUUGAACCAUACAGUAGGCACUGUUUUUCGACUGGCUUCUUCUACUCAAACUAUUUUAGAGUUUCCUCCGUGUUGUCGCAUUAUCAAUAAUACAUCAUUCUUUAUGUAUCUCUGGGUAAUAUUCCCUUGAAUGCACAUGCUCAUUGUUUUUCUUUCACCUGCUGAUGAACUUGGAGUUGCUUCCAUUUGGGGGAUAUUCCUAAUAAAACUUCUGUGAAAGUAAGUUCAUAUACAAGUUUUUAUAUGGACACAUGCUCAGUUCACCCGCAUUCCCACCAAGAGCUGGUAUGGUCAGUCUUUUGC